rnacentral:rRNA from 1 species
UACGUAGGGACCGAGCGUUGUCCGGAUUCAUUGGGCGUAAAGAGCGUGUAGGCGGUCCGGUAAGUCCGCUGUGAAAGUCGGGGGCUCAACCCUCGAAUGCCGGUGGAUACUGUCGGGCUAGAGUGCGGAAGAGGCGAGUGGAAUUCCUGGUGUAGCGGUGAAAUGCGCAGAUAUCAGGAGGAACACCUAUUGCGAAGGCAGCUCGCUGGGACGUAACUGACGCUGAGACGCGAAAGCGUGGGGAGCAAACAGG